CAUAAUUACAGCAUUUAUUCACCUGAGGCUGACAGGCUCUGACUUCAGAGCCUUCUCUGACUUCUGACUUCUUUGUGCUCCCUCAUAAUUUAACUGUGCUUUGGGGGCCUGGUUUAUGAGCCUGAGGAACAGCAAUUCCCAUGUUAGGAACCAUAGACCUGGAAGGCUGCAUUCAAGUCCAUUUCCACAUUCUGUGAUGAGAUUGGAUCCAAAGGAGAAUCACAAUUUGUAUGGAGAAGAGUAUGUUAGCAAAGCAGUAUCACAGAAAUAUGAAAGAGAGGGGAAUAAUAGUGUGAAGAGCUCUGGAGUAUUUCAGUUUUUCAUCACCAGUGGUGACUAAAAAGUGGCAAAAAAGAAUUUCCUCCCCAGGUCUAAAGGCAAAUGGAUUAAAAUGAUGAAGCGUUUUUAAUUCACUGAAGGCUGCAGAAAACCAAAAAUAUUUCCCAUAUCUUCUACAGCUUUAGGAAGUGUUGUGGAAGAGAUCUAUAAUGCAAACCCUGUAGAGGUGGAGCAGCAACAUAAGGCAUUUCUGAUCUCUCCCCAGUUAUUUUUCUGUCAUCAGGUUCCUAUCUGCGUGCAGGUGUAGCGCUCAAGGAGCCUGUCUGAUGGACCGAGAUCAUACAGGCCGUGUGCAACAUGGCUUUUUCACAGUCCCUAGAACAGCCAAGGGAGAACAAGGAAGGGACUGUGGGGGCUCCAGUGGAACUGAAAUUCAAUUACAUGCCUCCUGUAGACCUAACCUCACUGUAAAAAUUGGCCUGACAAUUUUACCUUUAAUUGUGCCUAUGUGAAAUCUCUUUGAUGUUAAAGAUGGUCUGCCCUCAUCCACCUUUCUUGUCAUACUGUGAGCAAGCCUCACUAAAUUGGGUAGCAAGAUGCAGACCUUUCAGGAACCCAGACAUGAACAGCUUUCUCCAGCCCUUGAAAGUACAUGGGAUUGAUCUGUUUGCUGUACAAUCCCCAAGCCCCAGGCUAUGGAUAAAAUUUCUUAGAAGAGAGGCAAAGUAAAUCAAUUCUGUUCUGUUUCUGGGGUAAAGUUGGUCAAUAGAUGAUAUUUUAAAGCACCUCCAUCAACAAUUUAUGAGAUUUAUUCAGUUUAUGCGAAAGAGCACUCCAUAAUCAUCACUACACAGCGAUGGCCCAACAGGGUGUUGCUAACUGGAUAUCAUUUAAUAAAAGUUUUUCAAGUGCUCAGCAUGCUUUCAUCAGAGGGUGAUUUUUGUUUUUAUCCUUGUUUUGUAUGAACGUUAGGAGGUAAUCAAGAAGUUAUAAAAGUUGAUGAUUUAUGAAGCUUUUGAAGUGGU